AUUGAACGCUGGCGGCAGGCCUAACACAUGCAAGUCGAACGGGUGGAGGACGGGUGAGUAAUGUCUGGGAAACUGCCUGAUGUAGGGGGCUAACUACUGGAAACGGUAGCUAAUACCGCAUACCAUCAGAUGUGCCCAGGUGGGAUUAGCUAGUUGGUGGGGUAACGGCUCACCAAGGCGACGAUCCCUAGCUGGUCUGAGAGGAUGACCAGCCACACUGGAACUGAGACACGGUCCAGACUCCUACGGGAGGCAGCAGUGGGGAAUAUUGCACAAUGGGCGCAAGCCUGAUGCAGCCAGGCCGCGUGUAUGAAGAAGGCCUUCGGGUUGUAAAGUACUUUCAUCGGGGAGGCGUUACCCGCAGAAGAAGCACCGGCUAACUCCGUGCCAGCAGCCGCGGUAAUUC
rnacentral:rRNA from 1 species